GAGGGUAUAGCUCAAGUGGUAGAGUGCGUGUUUGGAUGCGUGAUGUCCUGGGUUCAAUCCCCAGUACCUCCU
rnacentral:tRNA from 1 species